rnacentral:rRNA from 1 species
CUAAUACAUGCAAGUCGAGCGGACAGAUGGGAGCUUGCUCCCUGAUGUUAGCGGCGGACGGGUGAGUAACACGUGGGUAACCUGCCUGUAAGACUGGGAUAACUCCGGGAAACCGGGGCUAAUACCGGAUGGUUGUUUGAACCGCAUGGUUCAAACAUAAAAGGUGGCUUCGGCUACCACUUACAGAUGGACCCGCGGCGCAUUAGCUAGUUGGUGAGGUAACGGCUCACCAAGGCAACGAUGCGUAGCCGACCUGAGAGGGUGAUCGGCCACACUGGGACUGAGACACGGCCCAGACUCCUACGGGAGGCAGCAGUAGGGAAUCUUCCGCAAUGGACGAAAGUCUGACGGAGCAACGCCGCGUGAGUGAUGAAGGUUUUCGGAUCGUAAAGCUCUGUUGUUAGGGAAGAACAAGUACCGUUCGAAUAGGGCGGUACCUUGACGGUACCUAACCAGAAAGCCACGGCUAACUACGUGCCAGCAGCCGCGGUAAUACGUAGGUGGCAAGCGUUGUCCGGAAUUAUUGGGCGUAAAGGGCUCGCAGGCGGUUUCUUAAGUCUGAUGUGAAAGCCCCCGGCUCAACCGGGGAGGGUCAUUGGAAACUGGGGAACUUGAGUGCAGAAGAGGAGAGUGGAAUUCCACGUGUAGCGGUGAAAUGCGUAGAGAUGUGGAGGAACACCAGUGGCGAAGGCGACUCUCUGGUCUGUAACUGACGCUGAGGAGCGAAAGCGUGGGGAGCGAACAGGAUUAGAUACCCUGGUAGUCCACGCCGUAAACGAUGAGUGCUAAGUGUUAGGGGGUUUCCGCCCCUUAGUGCUGCAGCUAACGCAUUAAGCACUCCGCCUGGGGAGUACGGUCGCAAGACUGAAA